CUUAGUUAGCAGCUCAUGGGGACUGGUGAAUACUUGCUAGGCAGCAUAUCCCAUUGAGCAGCUCUCAGUGGGACCGGGGAACUACAACCCGAUACUAUUGAACUUAAGAGCCUGAAACCAAACGGGGAUGCUGAUACCGCGCAGCGUGCUGGGCAAGUCAACAGGGAGGAGGAAAAGAAAGAGCAACAGGAGUGGUGCGCUCAGGCGUUGGAUCUCGAGUGACGGAGAAGCACGUGACGUCUCCUCACUGUUACGCGCCCGCCCGCAGUGCACCAUGGGAAGGUGAGGGUUCGUCGAAGAGGCCGCCAUUUUGUGUCUGUCUGAGGCGGGAGCGCGGAGUUGUGGUCGGUCGUGGUGAAGCUUCCAUAGUUUCCGUAUCAGAGCCGUCGUCAUGGGUCGGAAGAAGAAGAAGCAGUUGAAGCCUUGGUGCUGGUAUUGUAACAGGGAUUUUGAUGAUGAGAAAAUUCUUAUUCAGCACCAAAAAGCAAAGCACUUUAAAUGUCAUAUAUGUCAUAAGAAACUGUAUACAGGGCCUGGUUUAGCCAUACACUGCAUGCAGGUACAUAAAGAAACAAUAGAUGCUGUUCCAAAUGCUAUACCUGGAAGAACUGACAUUGAACUGGAAAUCUAUGGUAUGGAAGGCAUUCCAGAAAAAGACAUGGAUGAAAGGAGAAGAUUGCUUGAACAGAAAACUCAAGCAGAAAGCCAGAAAAAGAAACAGCAAGAUGAUUCUGAUGAAUACGAUGAUGAUGAGUCUUCAGCUUCAACCUCAUUUCAAGCACAGCCUGUGCAACCCCAGCAGGGAUAUAUACCACCAAUGGCACAGCCAGGUUUACCUCCUGUGCCAGGUGCACCAGGAAUACCUCCAGGUAUACCACCAUUAAUGGCAGGUGUUCCACCAAUGAUGCCAGGAAUGCCUCCAGUGAUGCCUGGAAUGCCACCUGGGAUGAUGCCUAUGGGCGGAAUGAUGCCUCCAGGGCCAGGAAUCCCACCUCUAAUGCCUGGUAUGCCACCAGGUAGGUCAGGGGUGAUGAAUCCAUACUGUGGUAUGCCACCACCUGUUGGUCCCCGCCCAGGUUUGCCUCCCAUGACACAAGCACAACCUGCAACUGCUCAAGGUGUUCUUAAUAGACCUCCAGCUCCUGUUGUUGCAGCACCGAACCCUCAACCUCCAGUUACUAAACCACUGUUCCCCAGUGCAGGACAGAUGGGGACACCUGUCACAAGCUCAAGUACAACUUCAUCCAAUUCAGAACUGUCAGCACCUUCUAAAGCUCUGUUUCCUAGCACAGCACAAGCUCAAGCAACUGUUCCAGGGCCAGUUGGUACAGAUUUCAAACCUUUGAAUAAUACACCUGCAACUACUACAGAACCCCCAAAACCUACAUUCCCUGCUUACACACAGUCUACAGCUUCAACCACUAGUACAACAAAUAGUACUGCUGCUAAACCAGCUACUUCUAUAACAAGUAAGCCUGCUACCCUUACAACAACCAGUGCAACCAGUAAGUUGAUCCAUCCAGAUGAGGAUAUAUCACUGGAAGAAAGAAGGGCACAGUUGCCUAAAUAUCAACGUAAUCUUCCUCGACCAGGGCAGGCAUCCAUGGGCAAUCCACCAGUUGGACCAAUUGGAGGUAUGAUGCCACCACAGCCAGGAAUUCCUCCCCAACAACAAGGAAUGAGACCUCCAAUUCCACCUCAUGGUCAGUAUGGUGGUCAUCACCAGGGCAUGCCAGGAUACCUUCCUGGUGCAAUGCCUCCAUAUGGUCAAGGGCCUCCAAUGGUGCCUCCUUACCAAGGUGGACCUCCUAGACCGCCAAUGGGAAUGAGACCUCCUGUAAUGUCGCAAGGUGGCCGCUACUGAUGCUACUGCAAACGCGCUAAUAGGUUUUUAGAAGUGAAGUAUAGUAAAUAUGGUUCGUUAAAUUGUGAAGGCGCUGGAAUUACAUGAACAUACCAUCUUAAAGCCCUGCCAUAGGACAGGCUGAGGCAGAGUCUCAGUGUUGCCCUGUUCAGUCUGAGGCAAGUGGGAUUUAUUUUAUUCAUUCUAGGGGCUUUCACAGCUUUAUAGCUGUUGGAUAUUUAUGUCCCCAAACUUGCAGCAAGUUUGGUGAAGGCUCCUAUAUUUAAUUUAAUUUAGGAUUUUUAUAAUCUUUCAAUGGGCUCUAUAUUAAUAUUGAUAUUCUUUGCCUUUGCUGCUUUCAGUUUACUGUGGUUAGUGGUCAAAUCUUAAAAUGAGCCAAACACUCCCUGUUCAACCAAAUACUAUUACUUUUAUUUCCUCCUCCUGAAAUUUUGUGUUUAGUAACGAAACAGUGAAAUGACAGGUGUAUGUCAUCAUUUCAUAGACUAAGAUAUUCAGGAGUUCAGUUGCCCAUCUUUAGUAUUGUUGAGAAAACAUAUUUGUUACAAAUAGUUUCUCAAUUGAUAAAGUAAACAACUCUUAGUUGGUCAGUAACUGCUUAACCUAAAUUUUACUAAUAUAGGACCAUUUAAUAUCCAACAUUUUGUUGAAUCAUAAAAGUAAAUAUUAAUGUAGAGCCUACAGAGUGGAGAAAAAUGCAGAUAUGAGUUGGUAAGGUGGAAGAGUGGGUUAAAUGUUUAGUUGGAGACAUGACCUCAUCAGCUUGUAUAUAGGUAAAUAAUUUGCAAUGUUUAUAUGCACUGAAAUAUUAAACAAACACAGAUACUUGCAGAUGUUUCGUGUGAUCUGAAUGUUCUGUUUGCAAAGUUCCUACUGGGUUCAUAUCAAAAUACAAAUAUGUUGAUUAAGAUUUCCAAGCAAACUUAAGAACCUAUUUUGGUUGGCAGCAGCAUGCUUGAAACAUAUCAAGGAAAUGAGCAUACAGCAUCUGCACAAAAACCCAGAUUUCCUGGGUGAUACUCUCACAGAACCUCAAACUGCUUCUUAAAUGCCACUGAAUUCUUAAAAGUUUGGGGAUUUGGCAUGAGAGCUCUUCAAAAGAGAACUUGAGAAACAUGCCAUGGGUUGUAUGGCUGCUGAGGUGCUUGGUGGCCACAGACUCCUUCAGCAAACCAAAGGAAAGUUAUGCUUAUACAAGGAGCCCUUCUGGAAAUAGAAAGGGUCAUUGCAUGAGUGCAACUUCCUUCAGUUUACUGAAAGAGCUUGUGACACAAUGCUAUGUGCACACCAGUGAUAGUUACCUCUUAUGUGACCUCACCCAAUCCUCACACUGCUUUUCCAGCAUCAAGUAUUGGUUACCCUUCUGUGGCUCCCAGUAGCUUCCAACUCUAAACUGUGUUUUCAUUGUUGCGGUUUUAAAAUACUUACAAUUACUGCUGCCAUAAUACUGUGAUGGCACAAUCUUCUUCCUGCCACUUCUUCAUACAUGCAGAACCCUCUACAGGCUUCUUGUUUUCUCCAGAAAUUGCUGUUGAAAUUCUAACUAAUGCUUGGAAAAAUCAGUGUGAUUACUGCCUCUCUGAACACUAAUUGUAAUCAAAUACUAUACUAUUGUAAUCAAGAAUACUAUUCAGUGUAUUCUUGGCGUUGUGUUUGACACAUGACCCUUGACAAUUAAUGGUGAAGAUGGACUCAACACUGCAAGAUGCAGCAAAACUAAUCAGCAUUUCUUCUACACUUUUAAUGUUCUUGAAAGACCUGCUUCAUUCAAUAUGUUUGGCUGAUUUACUGAACUAUACAUUGUUACUGAAGACUUGAAAUAGAAGGGAUGUACUUGUUGCUCCUGAUACAUUUUAAUAUCCUAGAGAAAAUAGCUAGUGUUUAGAACGUCUUUGCUAUCGUCGCUCAUUAUGUAAUAAAAUUGAUAAAGAAAUGAGUUCCUUGAUCCAGAUGCAUGAUUUUAGACAGUCUUAUCACUUGAUGCAUUGGGCGGGGGGAUGGGAUGUCUUUAGGAUUGAGUUUCCUCCUUUUGAUCCACAUUAAGUGCGGUACUGAACACAACUAGGCCUAUCACAUUCUAAACAGUGCUAAUUCAUGACUGAUGAGAACUGAGACAUACAGGUGGCCCUUGUUCGCAGCAGUUCCAUUCUUGCCUAUAACUGUGAGAAUGGAAACCACAAAUAAAGGAACCACAUGUGUCUGGGAAUCUAGGGGUCAGGUUCCUACACACACACAGCCCAAAAAGAGGGAGGGGAGAAAUAAUAGUAGAAAUGAACUGUACAUCUCUCUCCAGGGCUCCAGAAAUGCCCCCCCAAAUCAGCCAAAUUUUUGAUGUAUAUUUGCCCCCGAAAAUUUUUUUUCAUAAAAAAAACAAAGGGGCCCAGAAUGGCUCUCUGUUCUAAAAUGGUGGCCAGAAGUCAUUUCUGGCCACUCUGCAACUGCAAAUAGGUGGGUUUUGGCCUGUUUUUGUACCAUGGAUAAAGAAGUUGGGUCUUUAUGACCCAAGAGCCAACUUUGUUUCUAUUUAUUUAUUUUUGAUUUGAUUUAUAAUUACAAUACAACUCCAAAGUGUGGUGUUUGGCAUCCAUCUGUGAAGAAGAUCUAAAUAUUUUAUUCCUUUCUUCUAGGUUUUAGUUCUCUCCCUCCUCCUGGACAUUAUAUUAAUUUUCUUCUAAACGAUUUAUCAGUAGGACUGAGCCAUAAUGAAUUCAGUUAUACUAAUCCUGUGGCAAAUAACAGUGUGAAGACUGUGCAGCUUUCAAAAAAUAGCACCCCAGGUGUGUGUGUUUAGGUCUCAUUAAUUCUGCUCUCUGAAAUGAGAUGCACUGCUAAUUCUGAGUUAUUAAAAAAGCAACCUUAGAAUUGAGAUUUCGGUCAUAAUCCAGCAAGGUGCAUGUUUUGAGUAUGCCCCCAAAUUUUAGACUAUUUCUGCCUUCACAGAAUCUCAUGUCCACAUUCUCAUGUUGAAAAAGCAGUUUCUUCAGAGGUUUGGUGCAUUAGCACUUUAAAUGGAUAUUGCUCUCAUGCACACAGAUUUCCCCCACCCCUCUUCCCUUUAAAAUGCUCUUGUGCCAAAUUGUCAGAUUGAUGUUUCAAUAAAAGCAUUUAAGCAACAGUUUGAGAGUUCUGUGACAGCUGGGGAAAGGAAACAAUUAGACUCUUAUGUGUGCACAAAUGCUGCACACCUCUUUGGAUCAGAGCCUUUACCUUCAAGUCCCUGACUUUCUGAAGUUGUUUGCCACAGUUGAUGGAGUUUUUAUUAAUUUCAAAAAGAGAUUAAAAUCUUUCAUUGUGUCUCCUUUGUUCAUCUCUGGGCUGCUACUGUUAAUAGUUAAACUUUGUGUGAAACUUAUUCAUGGGGCUUUCCCCAUAUGAAUCUGAAGAAGAUAAUUUAAAAAAAAAAGCCUAAUAACUAGACCAAUUGGUAACAUAAGCAUACUUUCCAUUAAUUUUACUAAAGUGAAGCUGUUCACUAAGCCAACAGCUUGAAUGAUGUAAUGUGGCUUUAGUUUUGGCCAUUGUGACUGUUUUGUCAGUAGAAUUCUCUUUAAAAUUACAAGGACCUGUGUCUUCUGGUGUGUAUGUGUUGUGUUAAAUAAAAGUACACAAUAUCUUUGCAGACGAAAAGCAAUUUUUUUUUAUAAUAUACACUUUUACCGACAUUACUCAUUGAAUACUGUGCCUUGUAGCAAACACUGUUUGACUUGCUGAAUAUUAUGUUGAUAGGUUUCAGAGCUCUUUCAGGUGAUACACAGUCACCUUUGUCAGCUAUUAAAAAUGCGUCCAAGUGUAAAUGGAAUUAAGGGAAGUAGCUAGGAACAGGGGAAAAUACAUCUUUUCUAUUUAUAUAUGAAAUUUUGUGCUACUUUUAAGCUUUAAGAAGUUUUAAGUUUGGGGUAUGUCCUGUUGAAAUUUCAGACUGAUUCUUAUGCUUUUGGUUUUUUAUUUGCAUCAUUUUACCUUUCUUCUCUUAUCUUAAAAGACCCAUGCUGAAAUGGAAAACAGUCUUCAACAUAUAUUCUCAAUUCAGUUAUUUAGGCCAGGAAAAACUGGAGUCAAACACUGUCCCCUUAACUGGUUUGGAUGUUUCUCUGUUCAGGCAACAAAUACUUAAAAUGGGAAAUUAUGCAUUGUUCAACUAGUUGGUGGAGACUGGAAGAAGGACUAAGCUACUACAUGAUUAUAACUUUGUAACAAAAACAUUGAGGAUAAUCUAGUGUGGUUGCAGACCACAAGUGUAGUUAUCUUAAUUCAAAUUGAAUAUGAAGGCAGUAAAAUACCUUUCCUGAGUCUUGGCUUUGUCCUUAACAUAAUAGAUUCUGAAAAUCUGGAGUAAUAAGUAUAAAAUUGAAUCUCAAAAGUAACCAACUCAGCUGUUCAAUCCAGGCUUCAAAUCCAGGUAGUAAACCCUAUUUUUAAUCUUCCAUUCUACUACAGUCAGCAUUUUUUGCUUUUCCAGGUUCUGUUGUGGAAGUGAUGUGAGAACACAACGCUAAUUAAAUUGUCACUAAUACUCUUAAGAGUACCACUUUUUUAUUACUUGCACCUUGACCAUCAGAUUGGUUCAACCAAGUAUAUUUAAUAUGUAUUGGAAUUCAUUUUUACAGAAUUCUUAUUGGUUAAUUUUUUCCCAUAUGAGUGCAAGAACUAGGAAUGUUUGGUUUUUUGAAUUUAAAAGAAUUUUUAUGAAUUAAGCUCCUUUUUGGUUUAAUAUAAUUUGUGUUUUUGUUGACUAGCAGCAGAAUUUCAGCAUUUGCUACUUACUGGUAGAGAAGAAAAAUCCCACAGCACUGCCAGUACAGGUUAGUUUAAUCUGUAAGUACUCGAUGUGUGUGUUAAAAAUCCUGUACUGUACUACAAAUACCACUCUAGUACAUGAGGAUGGCGCGUUCAGUAAUCUGAAGAGGGUCACUUUUUCUAUAUCUAAAGGUAAUAAAUACAUAACAAGUUUGGGAUUAGUAUAGACAUUGUAGUCAGUUUUAUUAUUAUUAUUAUUAUUAUUAUUAUUAUUAUUAUUAUUAUUAUUAUUACUACUACUACUACUACUAUUUUAUUUUUAACAUUUAUAGCCCGCUCUUCCUCCAAGGAGCCCAGAGCGGUAUACUACAUACUUGAGUUUCUCUUUCACAACAACCCUGUGAAGUAGGUUAGGCUGAGAGAGAAGUGACUGGCCCAGAGUCACCCAGCUCGUUUCAUGGCUGAAUGGGGAUUUGAACUCGAGUCUCCCCGGUCCUAGUCCAGCACUCUUACCACUACAAUACUACAAUAGCAAUGCUAUUAUUUUAAGGGGGAGAUGGUUCAGAUAAGGUUGUGGAAAACAUAACUGGCAUUUGUGGGGUACAUGGAUAUUUAGUCCAGUAACAAAGAAAGAAUAAUGAAAUAUUCUGAUUUUUCUCCUUAGCAGUUAUUUUUACAAACACCCACCAGCACAAUCUAUUCAACUGAUGAGCAAACCUUUGCUAUGAUGGGCAUUGAUAAGAAAUGCUAUACCUCUGAAACCCUUGGCUUUUGAAUAUCAACACUUCGAAAUGUAGGCUAUUCUCUUAGGUAGUCUCUUCUUCUUUUUAACUGAAUUCACUGUUUACUUAGAUGAUUUUAUUUAUUUUAAAUAAUAAGAAAAAUAAGUAGAUGAUGCAUUUCUGUAGUGCUGCCCUUUUGCUUAAACUGGUGGUUUGCACAAAAAUGUAGUUGCAUCUCAUUAGAAUUGCAUGCUUCUGUAUCUUUAAUUUUCAGUUGCUUUGUUUAACUAACUUGUAUAACAUUUUUGAAAAUGCUUAUAAAAAUUUAUUCUUUAAAAAGCAACCUAAAGCUGUUGGCAGUCUUUUGAACAUUUUAAGCGAAGGAAAUUGUAUACUGACCUCAAGCAUUGAAAUAUGAGCUGUCAAUUCUGUCUGAGAUAACUGCCAUGUCUAUCCCAUUACUAAGUUCAACUGAGAACCCCCAUGGUACAUGUGUGUGCCAUGUUCUGACAGGAAGGCUGUGCAUAGAGAUGUUCUUAGUACUUGUGCCACAUUUAUGGAACGGCUUUCCUUAGAAUCGCAAAAUCUCUGCUUGAGCAGCUUUAGGAUGCAUCUUAAGACCUUCCUAAUUUGAGAUGGCUUUGUGGGUUUAGAUUUAAACUGGUAGAGGGUUAGGAUUCUCUUUUGUUGUUGUUGGAUUGAUUUUUAUUCUGUGUUGUUAGAUGGUCAAAUAUAGUUAUAUUUGGACUUCCAGGAGUCCUUGGCUGGGAUAGCAACAACUUAACAAAGUGAACUUCUAUCAGCAAUAUGAGAGACUAAAUCUUUUGGCAAGUGCCUACAGAUCUUCAGAUGAGAGAGCUAUAUAAGGCUAAUUAAAAUAUUUCUCAAAACUGAUCUAAAUUCUAGUCACUGUUCAUAGUAAAUAUCCAUCUGUAUAACUCUUCCAUUUUUAGUAAUCUGAUACAGUGUAGGCUGCCUUUCAGAAUCGUGUGUAUGGCAGUUCCUAGUUCUUCUACUGUUUCACCAAGUGUCUAGUGAUCGGUGUUUAGUACUUCAUAAGAAUUAUAGUCCUAAUAACCUGCAACAAAUCUGGAGACAGUUCAGCUUUUGGGGGGGUUUAGCUCUUUUUAUAACUGCACAGCAGUUGUAUCUGUUCAGUUAUCGGCAUUAAGCAAUUAGUCACUUUACUUCAUUUGAUCUAAGCAUCUUGUUAAAAAGGUUGAGUUGUCCAAGAUUAACUUUGUUGCCACCUGCAAAGGAAGCUAUGAACAUUAAAAACUAGCCAUUCAUUUAAGAUAGAUAUUUUCUUUAAUAUAAUCCAUCUUAUUCAAUGUGAAUAUACCACCCCAUCCUGCCCACCAAGAAAAGCAUGUCUCGCUGAGCAACUAUGACUAUUUGAAGGUAGCAUUCUGCUUUUCUUGUCUAAACUCCUAACUUUUCUGUCUUACCAAGGGUUUAUGGUACAUUUGAAUGCAUGUAUGAAUGAACUGAGAUCUUAAACUACAUGGGCAUCUAAUUGUAUGGUUAUUCCCUUGUGUGAAGCAGUACCCACAUGGUUCAGCUAUACCAGGGAAAACCUAAUUCUUGGACUGGGGUGCUGCUUCACACAUUCCCAGAACUGCACAAUUUAGGAUCCUGGAAGUAACAGUGCUGCCAGGUCUCCAUUUAUAGUAACCUUUUACUGUUUAGGAAAAUAUAAAUGGAAAUCAGUGGUAUUACAGCAGAGUUAGUGCUCUCUAGACACUGCUUCUACUAGGUAUAAUUGGAUUAACCAGAGCUGAGUUUACUUAAUUGAUCUUGCAUAAUAAACUUGUCUUUUCUGGAAGGACACACACUAAAGUGAGGAUAAUGGAUUGCCUCUGUUUUUGUAAGCAGCUCAAUGUGGUAUGGAGCAGUUGGCUUUUGUCUUGCUUUUUACUGCAUAGCUGCCUUGCAGUGAACUGUGACCCACUAAUGAAGCAUAUUGUCGGUUCUAUGUACUAUGAUGGACCCUGUGAUUUUACUCUGAUCAUAUGAAUACAGCUUACAUAGCCUUGCAGAUGCCAGCAGUACCAGAAAACAAGAGAACACGUUUCAGGCUUGGCAAAUUGGUAAGUAUCUGGUCUUUGCAGUGCUUCUUGCCCGUAAAGAUCAAUGUUUCUAGUUUCACUCAUGUAGCAUUUUACUGAUAAUGUUGGGGACCCAGAGACACAGCUUGUUUCUAUAUUCUGUAUGUUCGUUUAUGAAGAGCAUUCUGAAAUGUAUGCUUGCAUAAAGCUGUGUAUCUUCCAUUCAUUAAAUUUCAAGUCAUUUUGAA